GAUGAACGCUGGCGGCGUGCCUAAUACAUGCAAGUCGAACGCAUUGUGGUUGAAAUGAUAUGAAGAACUUGUUCAGAUUUGAUUUUCAACAUUGCAAUGAGUGGCGAACGGGUGAGUAACACGUGGGAAACCUACCUCUUAGCAGGGGAUAACAUUUGGAAACAAAUGCUAAUACCGUAUAAUAAUUAAAACCGCAUGGUUUUAGUUUAAAAGAUGGUCUUGCUAUCACUAAGAGAUGGUCCCGCGGUGUAUUAGUUAGUUGGUGAGGUAAUGGCUCACCAAGACAAUGAUACAUAGCCGAGUUGAGAGACUGACCGCCGACAAUGGGACUGAGACACGGCCCAUACUCCUACGGGAGGCAGCAGUAGGGAAUCUU
rnacentral:rRNA from 1 species